rnacentral:rRNA from 1 species
UUGACCUCGGAUCAGGUAGGGAUACCCGCUGAACUUAAGCAUAUCAAUAAGCGGAGGAAAAGAAACCAACAGGGAUUGCCCUAGUAACGGCGAGUGAAGCGGCAACAGCUCAAAUUUGAAAUCUGGCGUCUUUGGCGUCCGAGUUGUAAUUUGCAGAGGGCGCUUUGGCAUCGGCAGCGGUCCAAGUUCCUUGGAACAGGACGUCACAGAGGGUGAGAAUCCCGUACGUGAUCGCUAGCCUUUACCGUGUAAAGCCCCUUCGACGAGUCGAGUUGUUUGGGAAUGCAGCUCUAAAUGGGAGGUAAAUUUCUUCUAAAGCUAAAUACUGGCCAGAGACCGAUAGCGCACAAGUAGAGUGAUCGAAAGAUGAAAAGCACUUUGGAAAGAGAGUUAAAAAGCACGUGAAAUUGUUGAAAGGGAAGCGCUUGCAGCCAGACUUGCCUGUAGUUGCUCAUCCGGGUUUCUACCCGGUGCACUCUUCUAUAGGCAGGCCAGCAUCAGUUUGGGCGGUUGGAUAAAGGUCUCUGUCAUGUACCUCUCUUCGGGGAGAACUUAUAGGGGAGACGACAUGCAACCAGCCCGGACUGAGGUCCGCGCA